rnacentral:rRNA from 1 species
UACGGAGGGUGCAAGCGUUAAUCGGAAUUACUGGGCGUAAAGCGUGCGCAGGCGGUUUGUUAAGUCCGUUGUGAAAGCCCCGAGCUCAACUUGGGAAUUGCAGUGGAUACUGGCAGGCUGGAGUACGGUAGAGGAAGGUGGAAUUCCCGGUGUAGCAGUGAAAUGCGUAGAUAUCGGGAGGAACAUCAGUGGCGAAGGCGACCACCUGGCCCAACACUGACGCUGAGGUGCGAAAGCGUGGGUAGCAAACAGG